rnacentral:rRNA from 1 species
AGAGUUUGAUCAUGGCUCAGGAUGAACGCUAGCUACAGGCUUAACACAUGCAAGUCGAGGGGAAACGAUAGAGGAAGCUUGCUUUUUCUAGGCGUCGACCGGCGCACGGGUGAGUAACGCGUAUCCAACCUGCCCACCACUUGGGGAUAACCUUGCGAAAGUAAGACUAAUACCCAAUGACGUCUCUAGAAGGCAUCUGAAAGGGAUUAAAGAUUUAUCGGUGAUGGAUGGGGAUGCGUCUGAUUAGCUUGUUGGCGGGGUAACGGCCCACCAAGGCAACGAUCAGUAGGGGUUCUGAGAGGAAGGUCCCCCACAUUGGAACUGAGACACGGUCCAAACUCCUACGGGAGGCAGCAGUGAGGAAUAUUGGUCAAUGGGCGAGAGCCUGAACCAGCCAAGUAGCGUGCAGGAUGACGGCCCUAUGGGUUGUAAACUGCUUUUAUAAGGGAAUAAAGUGAGCCUCGUGAGGCUUUUUGCAUGUACCUUAUGAAUAAGGACCGGCUAAUUCCGUGCCAGCAGCCGCGGUAAUACGGAAGGUCCGGGCGUUAUCCGGAUUUAUUGGGUUUAAAGGGAGCGUAGGCCGGAGAUUAAGCGUGUUGUGAAAUGUAGAUGCUCAACAUCUGCACUGCAGCGCGAACUGGUUUCCUUGAGUACGCACAAAGUGGGCGGAAUUCGUGGUGUAGCGGUGAAAUGCUUAGAUACCACGAAGAACUCCGAUUGCGAAGGCAGCUCACUGGAGCGCAACUGACGCUGAAGCUCGAAAGUGCGGGUAUCGAACAGGAUUAGAUACCCUGGUAGUCCGCACGGUAAACGAUGGAUGCCCGCUGUUGGUCUGAAUAGGUCAGCGGCCAAGCGAAAGCAUUAAGCAUCCCACCUGGGGA